rnacentral:rRNA from 1 species
CCUACGGGAGGCAGCAGUGGGGAAUUUUGGACAAUGGGCGCAGCCUGAUCCAGCCAUGCCGCGUGCAGGAAGAAGGCCUUCGGGUUGUAAACUGCUUUUGUACGGAGCGAAAAGCCCCUGGCGAAUAACCGGGGGUCAUGACGGUCCCGUAAGAAUAAGCACCGGCUAACUACGUGCCAGCAGCCGGGGUAAUA